ACUGAAGAGUCCCACAAUAGGACGAAACGGCCGUCC
rnacentral:hammerhead_ribozyme from 1 species